GGUCGAGCUACAAAGGGCUCACGGCGGAUACCUUGGCACACAGAGGCGAUGAAGGACGUGGUUACCUGCGAUAAGUCUCGGGGAGCUGGAAACACGCUUUGAUCCGGGAAUUUCCGAAUGGGGCAACCCCUAGAACGGCCAGCUGAAUCUAUAGGCUGGCGCGAGCCAACCCAGCGAACUGAAACAUCUUAGUAGCUGGAGGAAAGGAAAGUAAAAACGACUCCCUA
rnacentral:rRNA from 1 species